UCCGGAAUUUUGGGCAAUGGGCGAAAGCCUGACCCAGCAACGCCGCGUGAAGGAUGAAGUAUUUCGGUAUGUAAACUUCGAAAGAAUGGGAAGAAUAAAUGACGGUACCAUUUAUAAGGUCCGGCUAACUACGUGCCAGCAGCCGCGGUAAUACGUAGGGACCAAGCGUUGUUCGGAUUUACUGGGCGUAAAGGGCGCGUAGGCGGCUUGACAAGUCACUUGUGAAAUCUCCGGGCUUAACUCGGAACGGCCAAGUGAAACUGUCAUGCUAGAGUGCAGAAGGGGCAAUCGGAAUUCUUGGUGUAGCGGUGAAAUGCGUAGAUAUCAAGAGGAACACCUGAGGUGAAGACGGGUUGCUGGGCUGACACUGACGCUGAGGCGCGAAAGCCAGGGGAGCAAACGGGAUUAGAUACCCAGGUAGUCCCUGAGCGGGCUGGCAAGGCGCAU
rnacentral:rRNA from 1 species